rnacentral:tRNA from 1 species
UGGGGUAUCGCCAAGCGGUAAGUUUUUGAUACCGGCAUUCCCUGGUUCGAAUCCAGGUACCCCAGCCA